UGCUUAACUGACUGAGCCACCCAGGCACCCUGAUUUUAUUACUUUUAUAAUGGGAAAUAAACAUUAAAAAGUAGAAGAAGAAAGGAUUUGGGCACUGGUAUCGCAUGUGUUUGUGAGGUUGUGUGUGGUGUGCAGUGGCUGUUACUGCAACCCAGUCUGUGGUUGGGUAAGACGAGAAGUGUUCUCUGAUCCUCCCUAACUGGGCAUCGUGUGCUUCUCUGUUCCCACUUCUCCCCAGAAGCCCCACUGAAGGUUUUGGCAGGAUUCACUCACACUUUGCUCCCACCCUCCUCCCUGGUCAACCCCACAAAACUAUAUAGCACACAGUGGGAUAGGCUGGGCCGGGGGAAGAGGCUCUUGCAGGGAUGGGGGGACCAGCGCCUCACCCUGUCUUGGCAGAUCUGGAGGCUCCUGCGCUCUUCACUCCGCCUGCUGUGGACUUACGUAACACAUUCACAGGACUUCAUUUUCCAGUAGAUUGAAAGCAAAGCCACUGUUGAUUUUCUCCAAAAAGAUCUAUUUGGAAGUGCAAUUGCCUGGAAUUACACGGUGGCGCGAGAGGCCAGACCUUGCUGUAAAUAACUUUUCUCUCAACCACACCGGGGCCUGGCUGGCAGCAGAGUCCAUGCUUCAGAUGAUGGUGCUUGCUGUGGAGCGUGUGUGUGCGUGUGUGUGUGUGUGAGGGGGUGGAGAGAGAGGGAGAGAGAGAACAGGUGAGCAAGGUCUUGGGGCCUUUGCUCACCUUCUGCUACUUUGUCCACCUCUGGAGCUCUGCACGUGAAGGAGCGGUGAGAUUUCUCACGGGCUGGUUUAUGUGCCCUCUCUCUGGUUAUGUCUCCCACCCUGCCACCCGGGGGUCUGGGGCUGUGUGAGGUGGAGUGACUUGUGCAUACAGUGUGGGGCAGCACAAUGAACAAGCUUGAGAAUUUGACAUAUCUGAGUUCUAGUUCCAGAUGUGCUGGUUACAGUUUAUGGGACCUUAGAAAAUUACUUACAUCUCUGGCCUUUCUUUAUCCAUUAAAACAAAACAAAACAAAACAAAACAAAAUUGGUCCUGGGUGUGGGGGUUGAGAGUAUCCACAUUUCAGCAUUGUGAGGAUUAAAGGGAGUAAUAGUGGAGAAAUCACACUGCACAGAGUCUGACGCUUGAUUUGUGUUCUGGAAAUUUAGUUGCAUCCUGUGCCCUGUGUUGCCCUCCACAACAGACUGAAAUGAGAAGCAAGAGCAGUGGGCUUGGAGCCAGGAUGCUGCAUGCCAAAGUUGCGAAACAGAUAUCAGGCACAUGCAGACAGGGGGAAGGACAGAUCUCCCUGGGAGGCUGUCACCAGGUGCCACAUCACUGUGUGUUUAUGGGCUUGCUCUGAAAAGCAGAUGGGGGAUUUGUCCACUUCUUAAAAUUGAAAACGUUCCGGUUCAACAUAGGAGACAACAGUGGUAAUUGUACUAUAAAUUGACAUAAACUGCAAUGAGAAAAGACCUCCUUGACUUCCCCUGCCUUGGAUUCCACAUCAGGAUGUGUUAAUGAAAGCAUCUGCCUCUCGCCAGCUCCCGUUAUCAGACAUCUUAAUUUAUUUACUUAUUAAAAAAUAAAAGGGGAAUUUGUGCUUU